AUGAACGCUAGCUACAGGCUUAACACAUGCAAGUCGCGGGGCAGCAUGGGGGUUGCUUGCCAUCCCCGAUGGCGACCGGCGCACGGGUGAGUAACGCGUAUCCAACCUGCCCUUCACCACGGGAUAACCCGGCGAAAGUCGGACUAAUACCGUAUGUUGUCCAUUGACGGCAUCCGAUUUGGACGAAAGGCUUGGCGGUGAGGGAUGGGGAUGCGUCCGAUUAGCCAGACGGCGGGGUAACGGCCCACCGUGGCUACGAUCGGUAGGGGUUCUGAGAGGAAGGUCCCCCACACUGGAACUGAGACACGGUCCAGACUCCUACGGGAGGCAGCAGUGAGGAAUAUUGGGCAAUGGGCGUAAGCCUGAACCAGCCAAGUAGCGUGCAGGAUGACGGCCCUAUGGGUUGUAAACUGCUUUUAUGCGGGGAUAAAGUGGCCCACGUGUGGGCUUUUGCAGGUACCGCAUGAAUAAGGACCGGCUAAUUCCGUG
rnacentral:rRNA from 1 species